GUGAAGAACGUAGUGAAAUGCGAUAAGUAAUGUGAAUUGCAGAAUUCAGUGAAUCAUCGAGUCUUUGAACGCACAUUGCGCCCCCUGGUAUUCCGGGGGGCAUGCCUGUCCGAGCGUCAUUGCUGCCCUCAAGCACGGCUUGUGUGUUGGGCCGUCGUCCCCCUCCUAGGGGACGGGCCCGAAAGGCAGCGGCGGCACCGCGUCCGGUCCUCGAGCGUAUGGGGCUUCGUCACCCGCUCCGUAGGCCCGGCCGGCGCUUGCCGACGACCAUCAAUCUCUUUCUCCAGGUUGACCUCGGAUCAGGUAGGGAUACCCGCUGAACUUAAGCAUAUCAAUAAGCGGAGGA
rnacentral:misc_RNA from 1 species